rnacentral:rRNA from 1 species
CAUGGGUGGGGGAUAACUUUGGGAAACUGAAGCUAAUACCGCAUGACACCUGAGGGUCAAAGGCGCAAGUCGCCUGUGGAGGAACCUGCGUUCGAUUAGCUAGUUGGUGGGGUAAAGGCCUACCAAGGCGAUGAUCGAUAGCUGGUCUGAGAGGAUGAUCAGCCACACUGGGACUGAGACACGGCCCAGACUCCUACGGGAGGCAGCAGUGGGGAAUAUUGGACAAUGGGCGCAAGCCUGAUCCAGCAAUGCCGCGUGUGUGAAGAAGGUUUUCGGAUUGUAAAGCACUUUCAGCGGGGACGAUGAUGACGGUACCCGCAGAAGAAGCCCCGGCUAACUUCGUGCCAGCAGCCGCGGUAAUACGAAGGGGGCAAGCGUUGCUCGGAAUGACUGGGCGUAAAGGGCGCGUAGGCGGUUUUAACAGUCAGAUGUGAAAUUCCUGGGCUUAACCUGGGGGCUGCAUUUGAUACGUUGAGACUAGAGUGUGAGAGAGGGUUGU